rnacentral:rRNA from 1 species
GUUAAAAAGCUCGUAGUUGGAUUUGUGGUUGGGUUCGUCGGUCCGGCACAUUGUGCGGGUACUUGAUGGACUCGUCCAUCCUUGGGUGGAAUCUGUGUGGCAUUAAGUUGUCGUGCAGGGGAUGCCCAUCGUUUACUGUGAAAAAAUUAGAGUGUUCAAAGCAGGCUUAUGCCGUUGAAUAUAUUAGCAUGGAAUAAUGAGAUAGGACCUUGGUACUAUUUUGUUGGUUUGCGCACCGAGGUAAUGAUUAAUAGGGACAGUUGGGGGUAUUCGUAUUCCAUUGUCAGAGGUGAAAUUCUUGGAUUUUUGGAAGACGAACUACUGCGAAAGCAUUUACCAAGGAUGUU